AUUUAAAGUACUUGGUGUUGAACUGAAUGUUUGAAGUCAACGUUAGUUUUGGUUUUACCAGGUUUCAAAAUAUAUAUCAGAGAUCUCGGCACAAGAUGAAAUCAGAGAUUAUACGAAGUAACUACGCGCAUUAGGCCGAUGCAUUUAAAUUAACACCACGGAUAUUUUACAACAUUGAGUUGAACAAAUUAACCGACAGGAUACCAUCAGAGUGUUUGGUUUAUUUUGUCUGCUGGAUUUGUGAACAUUUCUUUGCGUUGAUCAAUUUAUUUGUGGCCUGUGGAAUUGUGUUUACGUCGUGAAUGAUCAGAUUUCGUAGCCAUAGAAAUAAGAAGUUUUAUCAUGUGAAGAAAAAUAUCUUAUUCAAGUUGUCAUCUUUAAUGAUCGUUUAUGGUGAUUCGUUUAACCAAGUUUGAGGUUUUAAAUCUACAUUUCAGUCCAUCUGUCCGUUAUCCUUCCUGAGAAUUUUGACCAUGUUGUGGAAUCAUCGCUUUGAAGAUUUG